GGGGGUUUAGCUCAGUUGGUAGAGCACCUGCUUUGCAAGCAGGAUGUCAUCGGUUCAAUUCCGAUAACCUCCACCA
rnacentral:tRNA from 1 species